rnacentral:rRNA from 1 species
UACGUAAGGUGCAAGCGUUGUCCGGAAUCACUGGGCGUAAAGGGCGCGUAGGCGGCUUGGUAAGUAGAGGGUGAAAGAUUCGGGCUCAACCCGAAAACUGCCUUCUAAACUGCCUUGCUUGAGGGUCUGAAGGGAAACUGGAAUUCACGGUGUAGCGGUGAAAUGCGUAGAUAUCGUAAGGAAGACCAGUGGCGAAGGCGGGUCUCUGGACAGUUCCUGACGCUGAGGCACGAAGGUCAGGGGAGCAAACGGG